rnacentral:rRNA from 1 species
CCUACGGGCGGCAGCAGUGAGGAAUAUUGGUCAAUGGGCGCGAGCCUGAACCAGCCAAGUAGCGUGAAGGAUGACUGCCCUACGGGUUGUAAACCUCUUUUAUCAAGGAGUAAAGUGAGGCACGUGUGCCUCUUUGUAUGUAUUUUAUGAAUAAGGAUCGGCUAACUCCGUGCCAGCAGCUGCGGUAAUACGGAGGAUCCGAGCGUUAUCCGGAUUUAUUGGGUUUAAAGGGAGCGUAGAUGGGUUGUUAAGUCAGUGGUUAAAGUUUGCGGCUCAACCGUAAAAUUGCAAUUGAUACUGGAAGCCUUGAGUACAGUAGAGGUAGGCGGAAUGCGUGGUGUAGCGGUGAAAUGCUUAGAUAUCACGAAGAACUCCGAUUGCGAAGGCAGCAUACUAAACCGCAACUGACAUUGAUGCUCGAAAGUGUGGGUAUCAAACAGGAUUAGAUACCCUAGUAGUC